GUGCAGCAGGCGCGAAUACUUUACAAUGUGCGAAAGCACGAUAAGGGAACUCUGAGUGCCUCCUAAGGAGGCUGUUCAGGUGUCUAAAAAGCACCUGGAGUAAGGGCUGGGUAAGACCGGUGCCAGCCGCCGCGGUAACACCGGCAGCCCAGGUGGUAGCCACUUUUAUUGGGUCUAAAGCGUCCGUAGCCGGUUGAGUAAGUUCCUUGGGAAAUUUGGCUGCUCAACAGUCAAGCUUCCAGGGAAUACUGCUCGACUUGGGACUGGGAGAGGUCAGAGGUACUCCAGGGGUAGGGGUGAAAUCCAUUAAUCCCUGGGGGACCACCGGUAGCGAAGGCGUCUGACCAGACCAGGUCCGACGGUGAGGGACGAAGGCUAGGGGCGCGAACCGGAUUAGAUACCCCGUA
rnacentral:rRNA from 1 species